rnacentral:lncRNA from 10 species
AGAUUUGUUAUUGUUUUAUGUUAAUCCCUAGUACAUGGCCUACUGUAAACACCCGGGACACCAGGAUAUGGUCAUUGCUGUUUGAUUUUCCUCAUCCCCAGUCUCAAGGGGAAGCCAGGACAAUGAGAACAGCCACUUGCCAUCAGGAGUCACUGAAAGGGCCCCAGGGUGGGAUGGUGGGGAGAUAAGAACCAUGAGAGGAGUUGGCACAAAGGAGUUAUGGGACGAAGGGUCCAAGAUAGGCAGAAAAGAAAGUUGUGCCAGUUGAUGGGGGAAGAAAGGAAGUCAGAGGGCUUAGACACUGAGAGGGACAGAACAUCUCCAUGUGCACUCUCAUCUCUUGUAGUCAGCAACGGGUAUCGACGGAGAGGGCCCUACGUCAUCUGCAACCCUCAAGGAUCUGGAGGUAAGAGGCUCUGGGUGGAGGGGCAGUGACCCUGCAGGCCAAUCCUCCAACCUCCUCCCACAGCAGGGACUGGGUGCCCCUCUGCCAGCUGAGACAGCCCACACACACCCCAGCCCUAAUGAUUGUUCUCUCUACCUCUCCCCCGACUCCUCCUCCACCUCCUCCUCUCUGCAUGUGCCUCAGAGCCCGUCCCAAGAACUAGCAGCUGCCCUGGACUCGAGGUCCGUCAAAAUCAGUCAACUGAAGAACACCAUCAAAUCUUUGAAACAACAGAAGAAACAAGUGGAACAUCAGCUGGAAGAAGAAAAGAAGGCAAACAAUGAGAAACAGAAAGCCGAAAGGGAGCUAGAGGUUCGAAUCCAGACAUUGAACAUACAGAAAGGGAAACUAAGUACGGACCUGUAUCGCACGAAACGCUCGCUCAGAUACUUUGAAGAAGAGUCCAAGGAUCUGGCUGGCCGCCUGCAACAUUCAUUGCAGCGUAAACGAGAGUUACAGCGGGCUCUGUCUGCUGUCACCGCCACACAGAAGAAGGAGGACAGGGUGAGUCUGACCACCUGACCCGUCCC